rnacentral:rRNA from 1 species
UUAGACGGCCAUAGGGGGCGGGUCCCACCCGGUCUCAUUCGAACCCGGAAGUUAAACCGCCUUCCGUACCGGUGUGUACUGCUGUGAAGCGGGAAAACUGGUAAGCUGUCACCU